UAAAAUACAUAUGAUAUUUUUUUUUUCUAAAUUUUGUUUAACUUUUGUAGGUUCCAAUCUCAAGGCUAUAUGAGGAAUUUUCCCACAUGUCUGCAUUGCUUUGUCUGUGCAGACAGUGAUGAGCUGUAAUGGGUGGCCAGCCGAGCUGAAAGUUUAAGAGAAAGAAG
rnacentral:lncRNA from 1 species